rnacentral:rRNA from 1 species
UACGAAGGGGGCUAGCGUUGCUCGGAAUCACUGGGCGUAAAGCGUACGUAGGCGGCUUUGCAAGUUAGAGGUGAAAGCCUGGAGCUCAACUCCAGAACUGCCUUUAAAACUGCAUCGCUUGAAUUCAGGAGAGGUGAGUGGAAUUCCGAGUGUAGAGGUGAAAUUCGUAGAUAUUCGGAAGAACACCAGUGGCGAAGGCGGCUCACUGGACUGGUAUUGACGCUGAGGUACGAAAGCGUGGGGAGCAAACAGG